UACGAAGGGGGCUAGCGUUGCUCGGAAUGACUGGGCGUAAAGGGCGCGUAGGCGGCUCAUACAGUCAGGCGUGAAAUUCCUGGGCUCAACCUGGGGGCUGCAUUUGAUACGUAUGGACUGGAGUGAGGAAGAGGGUCGUGGAAUUCCCAGUGUAGAGGUGAAAUUCGUAGAUAUUGGGAAGAACACCGGUGGCGAAGGCGGCGACCUGGUCCGAUACUGACGCUGAGGCACGAAAGCCGUGGGGGAGCAAAACAGGG
rnacentral:rRNA from 1 species